CUACGGGAGGCAGCAGUGAGGAAUAUUGGUCAAUGGGCGCAAGCCUGAACCAGCCAAGUAGCGUGAAGGAUGACUGCCCUCUGGGUUGUAAACUUCUUUUAUAGGGGAAUAAAGUGCGCCACGUGUGGCGUUUUGUAUGUACCCUACGAAUAAGGACCGGCUAACUCCGUGCCAGCAGCCGCGGUAAUACGGAGGGUCCGAGCGUUAUCCGGAUUUAUUGGGUUUAAAGGGUGCGCAGGCGGGAUGAUAAGUCAGUUGUGAAAGUUGGACGCUCAACGUUCAAAUUGCAAUUGAAACUGUCAUUCUUGAGUGCAGUGGAGGUAAGUGGAAUUCGUGGUGUAGCGGUGAAAUGCUUAGAUAUCACGAAGAACUCCGAUUGUGAAGGCAACUUGCUAUACUGCAACUGACGCUCAUGCACGAUGGUGUGGGUAUCAAACAGGAUUAGAUACCCUCGUAGUC
rnacentral:rRNA from 1 species